AACAUUGCUAUUUUUCAUGAAUUCAUUCUUUUUAUAUUCUAUAAUACAUGAGUGGUGAUGCAUGUCAUCGCUUGUGUUCUUUGUAAUUUUCAUAGGGCUUAUUGUUGAUAAUUUGAUGCAAAUUUUUAGAUUUGCUAUAUAGGUAUUUGAGUCUAUUAUUGGGCAAAAACUAUUUUUCUUUGGUUGUAGGAAAUAGCAUUAUUUUUAGCUAUCUGCCUUCUUAUUCUGAGUAUCUUCUUCUGUGUCUUUAUAUUUCAGUGAUGUAAGCAAAACAUUUUUGUAAUGGUGAUUUUAGUAUAUUUCAGCUAUGUUUAUUAAACAUUUAUGUGAUGGUGAGUGUGAUUGAUGACCUGCUGAUGUUUUCCAGGAGGAUCGUA
rnacentral:misc_RNA from 1 species